UCUCCGGUAGCACAACGGUAGUGCGAUCGACCGAUAAUCGUUGUAUGAAAGUUCGAAUCUUUCUCGGAGAACCA
rnacentral:tRNA from 1 species